UACGAAGGGGGCUAGCGUUGUUCGGAAUUACUGGGCGUAAAGCGCACGUAGGCGGACUACUAAGUCAGGGGUGAAAGUCCCGGGGCUCAACCCCGGAACUGCCUUUGAUACUGAUAGUCUCGAGUCCGGAAGAGGUGAGUGGAAUUCCGAGUGUAGAGGUGAAAUUCGUAGAUAUUCGUAAGAACACCAGUGGCGAAGGCGACUUUCUGGCUCGAUACUGACGCUAAGGCGCGAAAGCGUGGGGAGCGAACG
rnacentral:rRNA from 1 species